UCAAGCAAUCCUCCCACCUCAGCUUCCCAAAGUGCUGGGAUUAUAGGCAUAAGCCACUGCACCCAGCAUAAAUAAUCUCUUAUUUGUUCAUCCAUGGUGUUGUCUUUAGUUUUUAAAAAUGGAUCCUUUUGUUAUUCUUUUAUAGCCCCAGAUUAAGAAUUUGUCCAAGUUUUGUAUAUUUUUUCAGUUAUUUCAAUAUCAAAGCCCAGCACAUCUUUAAAAUCACUUCUAUGUAUAGAUAUUAACCUUUUUGACAUUUGUGUUUUGGUAUUCCAUAUUUACUCAGUUCUCCUUUCACACCCUCCCUUUAGAAGAGGAGUAUGACCAUGGCAGGAUGGAGGGGUAGUGGCAGUAGGGGCCAUAGUAUGUUUUCUAUAUUUAUCCAGCAUAUUUAAAACAUGGUAUUCUAGCUUCAAGGGAGAACAUUGAACUCCCAUUUGGACAUGUUAAGUUGAAGAUGUCUGUUAGACACCCAAGAGAAUAUGUCAAGCAGAUAUCAUCUGCCCUUGUUUUUCCUUUUCCAAACUGGCUCUCCUUAGUUCCAUCUCCAGAUGACAUGGUCCUCAAACCCUUUGUGAUCUUGGUUCUCUACUCCAGUUCUUCAAUGUUUUUCUUGAAUGUGGCACCCAGAAUUAAAUAGAGCACCCCAGAUAAUGGCUGCCCAGCAGGAUAGACAUGUGUUUGUUAUAUAAUUCUUAGAGACUAUAGCUGACGUCACUGGUGCCCAGCCCAUAUCUUCUUGAGCCCUAGCAUUUUCGUGCAUGGUGGCCUGAUUUCUAACUGUCAGCACCUAAAUAUCUUUGCCUGAGGACUUUCUCUGUCGGCCAGAGCCUGCUUUGUGCACAGUCAGAAGUGCCAAGGAGUCAACACUCCCCAAAGGAGUCUUCAGCCAGUAACGAAAUGAAAGGUUUUGGUGUGAGGGAGUAACCUCCCUGAUCUCCCUGGUUCCUCUAGCAUCACAAGGCAGAAGCAGCAGCAUCUCUUCCAUCUGCUGUAGUGAGGAAAUAAAAGGUUAACUUCAGGUUUGGAAAUAAAGUGGAACCUGUUUCUGCAUCUUCAAAAUCUAUUUCUCUUGGGCCACAUAACGGUAUUGGACACUUGGUUAUAUGCAAUUAAUAAUGAACACAACAGCCAAAUGUUGACUAUGAUUGGUGCAUAUAAUUCAUUCAUUCAUUCAUCUAUUUGCCCAUUCAACAAGCAUUCACACUUUCCUACUAUGUCAGACAUUGCACUAUGUCCUAGGGAUUUAGAGACAAAAUGGAAAUAGUCUCUGUUAUCAAGGAGCUGCCAGAAUGGUAAAGAGAGGAGGGUAUGUAAACAAAUACAAUAUUACUGGAGUAGUGGUAGGGUGUGUGCAGAAAACAAUGGGGACACAAUGUGGCAGAUCUACCUGAGAAAAGUCAGGAAAGUCUUUGUGGUGAAGGUGACUCUUACAUUAAUGUAGAAAGGCAUGAAGACCAUCUAGACAAAGGAAUUCAAUGGGAGAGUGGACAUUAAGAUUUGGAGAGCAGAAGAGAAAUUGAUCCUGGUAAUACCAGCCUGGGAGUCAUUAGCUUUUAGGUAGUUGUGUUAAGCUGGGUGAGUGGUUAAGAUCUCCCAGCUGGCACCACAGGUAGCAUAAGAGGACCAGGGUAGAAGAGAGCUGGUGUGAAUUCUACCCAAUGAAGUUGACCAGGGAAGGGCCUGUUGGAACUGUGGGCCAGUCCUGGAGGCUGAGACCCUCACAGGAAGCUACCCUUAAUAGUUUAAGAAAACAGACAGAUCUGAGUCCUAAUAUAAGCUGUGUGGCCUUGACAGAUUGCUUAAACUUUGUCUCAGUUUCUAUACCCACAGAAUGAAAGUAUUAAUAGUACACACUGCAGGGUUAUUAGAAGAAUUAAAUGAGAUAAUGUUUAUAAAGGAGGGUCUGGUAUACAGAAAGCAAUCAUUGCAUAGUACCUAUUGUUAUCAUUUUAUUAUUAAAAUGAAUGUGAAAAUUGGGGAACGAAUUUUAACCCUUUAACUACCAGAUUGUAACAUCCAGAAAUAUUUAUUGAGCACCGGUGAUGUUCCAGGCAUGGUUUUUGGUGCUAGCAGGAGAGAAAACAAUACCUGUGGCCUAAAGAGCUCAACCUGACCUGAAGAACUCAAGGGAAUCUUGAACUUGAGUGGGGCAGAAAAUGCAGUUUCAUUUUCACUACACUUGCAAAAAUGUAGCAUUUUUCUUCAAUUAUGAAUUUAGGCAACAAACCACAAUAGUAUUAGCAGUGCCUGUGGCUUUGUUAUUAAUAAAAAUCAGUCUUGUCAUAUCACAUUAUAGUUCUUUUAUAGGUUUAGAAAUAUUUAUUGGAAAUAGCAUUACCUUAAAAGUAGAAAUUGGGAGGCCAGUUUUAGAUUCUCUUAUUUUAUGUAUUAACAAAUAAGCAUAUGUAAUCCUUGUAUCAUAAAUUUGAGAUUUCUUUUACAUUUUGAUAACCAUAUUUCAAUAUAGUUGGUUUCUUUUGUGAUACUAUGUG
rnacentral:lncRNA from 1 species